CAAAAACAUAGCUUAAAGAAUAUAUUUUAAGUAAAUUCUGCCCAGCGUAAAUUUAAUUAGCGGCCGCAGUACCUUGACUGUGCUAAGGUAGCAUAAUCAAUUGGCUUUUAAUUGAAGUCUGGAAUGAAAGGAAAAAUAAAGAAUUAACUGUCUCUUUUUAAUUUAUGUGAAUUUAUUUAUUAAGUGAAAAUACUUAAAUUUAGAAAAAAGACGAGAAGACCCUUAGAAUUUUUAUUAAUAUUAUUUUUUGUAUUUAUAUUUUUGUUGGGGCGACAAUGAAACAUAUUUAACUUUUAAGUUUUUCAAGACAUUAAUUUUUGUACGGUUAAAUUACCUUAGGGAUAACAGCAUAAUAAUUUAUAUAGCUUAUGACCUCGAUGUUGGACUAGGAACUAAAAGACUAACCGUCAAAAUAGAUUGUUCUGUUCGAACAAAAAUCUCCUACGUGAUCUGAG
rnacentral:rRNA from 2 species